UGUUUUUAUGGGAUAUGGCCAAGUGGUAAGGCUGUGGGCCUUAGGCGUAUGGGUUCGAGUCCCAUCGAGAGCAACCA
rnacentral:tRNA from 1 species